GAAGGGGAUGGGGCCGACCCGGACCCUCCAGGGAACGCCCUUGAGUAACUCCCGCACUUGGGACCCCGUUUCCACCCAGGACCACAGGCUCAAGAUGGCCUGGUAGAUGCAGCCGGCACGCGCCUCUCCUCCGACGGGAACAGAAGGAGCCGGUAGGUUUUCACACUUGCAGCAGAUCCGCUAAGAGAACGAGGGAUUCAGCCGAGAAGCCACUGGGAGCCCGAGGAGUGGAGCAGAGGCACCCAGGCAGCCUGCGCGGAGAAAUCGGAUCGGCUGGGACGGCCUGCAGCCCCCGCGCGCGGGGAAAGGGAAGAAGUCCUCCCCUACAAAGCGAAUUCACAAACGGAAGAAGUGACUGUUCCACAGGAUGCGCAGAUCUCAACGGAAGGACCCAGGAGACAUGAAAAAGCAAGGAAAUGUGACGCCUUCAGAAGAAACCAGUAAUUCUCCAGCAACAGAUCCCCAUCCAAAAGAAAUUCAGGAAAGCUCAAACAGAGAAUUGAGCAGAGAAUUGACCGGACUGAUUGUAAAGAAGGUCAUCAACAUGGAAGAGUCUUUUGAACAACAACAUAAAGAAAUGAGGAAAAGAGGUGGGGAGAUAUAUGAGAUGAUUACCUGCCAGAAAGAGGUUUUAAAAUUCAACAGAAGAGUAUUUCUGGAACUGAAGAAAUCAUUGGAUGAAAUACAAAGUACACUCAAAAGCUUCAAUGAUAGACUAGAACAAAUAGAAGAAAAACUCUCAGGGCAUAAAAUCUGAAGCAUUUUUCUCACUUUAAAGAUUCAUGGGUUGUACUCUGGCCAUUAAUGUGAACAAAACCUGCUGGGUUAGUUCUUAUUCUGGGGUCUUGGGUAAUCGUUAGAGCGAAAUAAAAAUAAUUUCCCUUAGA
ensembl:lncRNA LNCPRESS1 lncRNA p53 regulated and ESC associated 1